GGCGGUAUAGUUCAGCUGGUUAGAACGACGGAAUCAUAAUCCGUAAGUCGUGGGUUCAAGUCCCUCUUCCGUUA
rnacentral:tRNA from 1 species